ACACACACAGCGGCGGCGUGACGGAUGGGGUGUGUUUAGCGUGCCGAGGCGUUGCGCAGCGUCAGCGUCUGGCCGACCAGACACACUCAAUCUGAAGCUCGCUUCAGGUUCAGAUCAGACUCAAACUGACACCAACAUUUUGCCUCCAUUGGAUCAUUUCCAGCAGCAGAGGAACAGUGUGGAGAAAUCCUCCUCAUGUGUCGAACGGGAAACUUCCUGUUUGCACUGCUGCCACUAGGUGUCCCCAGUUCAUCCACAUUCUCUGACGGAGGAGCUGAUCAGAACCUGAAGAUGAGCAGCUGAUGCCCUCUCGGGCUUUGACUGUUCCACUCACAGACAGGAAGGCG